rnacentral:sRNA from 1 species
AUUCUGCCCUUGCGGGGAAGGAUGAGAAGCUUCGACUAAGGUUCGGCUCGAGCGUCAGCGAGAGAGCGUUGCCGCAGGCAACGACCCGAAGGGCGAAGCGCGCAGCGCUGAGUAAUCCUUCCCCCACCACCA